AUCUAGUGGGAGUUUACUACUUUUGGUCGUCUGCACAACUUUUUUGCGGCGGAACGCGGGUAGAGUGGCGUGUUCAGUAAGAAAACCUUGAAGAAUCUUCGUAAUAAUGGAGAACAAGUAUGCGGGAAGUGGUAGAGAAAGGCGUUAAUGGUAGGAUAUACCGGAAGAUCAUCACGCGAAAAGCAUCUGUUCAAAAUAUCAUCAAGGAAAGCCUUAAAUGGUGACGCACUGUACCGGUACCAACGGACCUAUGCCAGAAACAGCCUUGGACCAAAUUAGCAAGGCAACUGCAAUCAAUUCGUUCUCCGUAAGGAGUUUUGCAUCUAAAUUAAUUUAGUUACCGGUGUUUUUAUAUCAUAUCAACCAAGGGCCUGUGUCCCAUAGAGUAUUUGGAGGGAGCCACCAGUAGGUUAUUUCACACUGUCUUCACUUUGUUUAGCAUGUAGUGUUUAAACAUAAUGGGAUUUGGAUCUACGAAUGAAAAUAACACUAUAAAUACCACUGGAAUGAUAAACAAGGCCAUGGGAAGGGAAUUAUAUUUUUUACUGGCAUCGAACAAAUUGAUGGACCUUUAAUUUUUUUCCCUAAAAAAGUCCAAUACACAGCUCAGACACAGCAAAAAUACAAGAUUUGAAACUUUCUUUCAAAAUAUAAAUAUCACAAUUCACCUAAUUUUAUACUGGAAAACACUUGGUGCAUCUACUGGAAGUGAGCUCAAUUUAGUCUUGAAACAAUUUCUUGUUUUUGUUUAGCAGGUGUUCUCAUUGGUGAUAAGCUCCCAUUAAUGUAAUGAUAUCGUCUACGGUUUAGGGAAUAGCCAUUUUAAUGUCAAUGUUGUGCAGUCAAUAGUGUACUGUUUGGCGUGGAAUAAACACCGGCAUCGAGAUAAUAUUUUCAUAUGCGAAGAACACUCUCAUAGCAGAGGAUUUGCAAAAUACUUGAAAAAAAAACAUGGAAAUCUGAAAUAACAAUGGGGCAGUGUAAAAGAACCUCAAUUCGGUUGAAAGCUGAUCGAAAAAUAUAACACUGUCAGAGUGGAAUUCCCUCCCAAACUCUUUGGAACCGUAAAAUAAUUUGCUGCAUCAUCCAAAACGUUUUUGGCCUUCCUAUGGAUUUACCAACAUUGAUACUCACAUCAACAAUGCACAUAUGUCUAAAUGUGAAAGUCGAUAUGUUUUUAAAAAUCCCAUAAUACAUUAUUAUGGCAAAAGUUCGCAUGUUCCAGUUUUGAUAUUUUGACAACAAGAUUUGCAAAAGAGCGUGGAUUAAUACAUAAAGUCCAAAGCGACUGGUUUUAGUAUAGACUGGGAGAUCGUGAUAAGAUCGAAGUCACCCGCUAUCAAAAUGAACAUAAUUACUUAAUUUUCAGGCGCAUUAGGACCGUGUUUAUUCAAAUAUGAUUAUCAGUAUGUAAAUAGUAUAUAUGUAUGCUCAAAGACACAUUCAUUUUUAGUUUUUAUUGAAAGUUGCUAAUUAGUAUUCCGCCAAACUGUCAGAUGAACUCUUAUGCACAAGUCUGAACUGGAAUAUUCAAUUUCCAUAAAGUUUUGUUGUUAUAGGGUAUUUCAAAUAGUCUUAAAAUCCCUAUUAUAAGUAUUUUUUGUUAGAUUCAAACAAAUAUCUGUAAUGCCUGAUGAUAUAUUACGAUAUUCUUAAAAUAAUUAAAUCAUAAAAGUAAAUUGUUGUAAAAACGGGCUAUAAUAUAAUUUUUGCAAUGCCAAAAGAUUUCAAGUAAUGAACAACUUGCAAUUUUAUGCUGUUAUAUUUGCCUAAGAUUUCAAAAUAUUUUAAAUAAAAUACGGUAAUCAAAAAGUUUUAUUUACGUAGGCUACGCUAUAUCGGUGCAUAGAAGUAUUUUAUUCAUAUCAUCUCAAAGGUAUCCAAAUUUGAGAAGAAUAUGUUAUACAAUAUCGUUAUUAAAAUAUGAUUAUAAUAUUGUCAUAAAUCAUUAAAAACCUCAAAAAGAAAUGACUUCAUAUUAGAUUUCUCACAGGAUAGGAAGGUUACGUUUUAAGUAUUAUGUUUAGUAGAUAUCAUGUUAGUAGGAUUAAACUACUGCCAGGUACAGUAUGAAUCAUUAAAAUACGGUAGUUUCUGUCGUAUAGGUGCCAUGAAAAUCCUUCAAAACCGUGAGGCUACAUGGCUACUCUGCAGUAAAAUACAGGUCCGGUACUGGGUACCGCUACUGUUCCGCGUGGCAACCAUUCCAAAUCAACCAGUAGUAAGUUGAUAUCUAUUUUAUCCACCAGAUAAAUUUGUCAAACCCUCUUCGAAUUCAUCUGAAUAAAUAUGAAAACUCCAUCCCAUACUUCUGAGAACGCAAAAGCGCGGUAACAACGCUAGCGCUCACCGUGGAAAGUCCAAAGUAGUAAACUACCACUAGAUGGUGUAGGUGAC